UUUUUAACUGUCAAUGGAUUGUGUGGAAAGGGCAAAAUUAUAUUCGACGGUUGAACACCCGUCUAGAAAUUGAGAUUCAAAAGUGAACGGCAUUUCAGGGGCACUACGAAAAUUAUGUAUUGAUUGUAUAUCUCAUUGGUCAAGAUAUCAUAGACCAGCCAAUAAAAUAUUUUCAAGAAUAUCCAAGAAGAUGGCUGCUUUGCCGUCUCCGACUCAGGUGGCUGGUAGUCAUAGUGGCAUAUAUGAAGCUUAUUAUCACCAGGUGGACCCAAGUAACCAGGGCAGUGUUGGAGCUUUAGAUGCUGCUAGAUUUCUGAAGAAGUCUGGUCUUUCAGAUGUCAUAUUGAGUAAAGUGUGGGAUCUGUCAGACCCAGCAGGAAAAGGUUACCUGAAUAAGGGUGGUUUCUUUGUGGCCUUGAAACUGGUGUCUCUUGCACAGACUGGAAAAGACGUUAACAUGGUAAACAUAACAGCAGAUGUACCACCUCCCAAAAUGGGAGAUGUUCCCCUUGUGACAGCAGUUCAUAAUAGUCUUAUAUCUCCCCCAACAAUCAACAACUCUCUGCUGUCAAGUGAUUGGGCUGUGAAACCAGCUGAGAAGGCAAAAUAUGACCAGUUGUUUGAAUCUUUGCAACCUCAUAAUGGCAUGAUAUCAGGGAACAAGGUGAAAGGUGUAUUGAUGGAUUCAAAGUUACCAGUAGAUACGCUUGGUAAAAUAUGGGAUCUGGCAGACAUGGAUAAAGAUGGGAUGCUGGAUCGUCAUGAAUUCAUGGUGGCUAUGCAUCUUGUAUAUAAGGCUUUGGAAAAAUACACAAUUCCAAACACGCUUCCUCCAGAACUGAUGCCUCCUUCAAAAAGAAAAGAUUCUGUACAAGCAGCAACAUUACCGGGAGCAGUUCCUGUACUACCAAAUCUUGUUAUGGGGAUUGAUGGCACAAAGCCAGCAAUUCCUCCCCUUCCUGUAGCUCCAUGGAUAGUAACUGCUGAAGAUAAGACAAAAUAUGAUGUCUUAUUCCAACAAACUGAUAUUGAUAAAGAUGGCUAUGUGUCUGGCCUUGAAAUUAAAGAUGUCUUCCUUCGAUCAGGUGUCCCUCAAGCAGUGUUAGCACAUAUAUGGACAUUGUGUGACAUAAAGCAGAGUGGCAAGCUGAACAGUGAGCAGUUUGCCUUAUCUAUGUGGCUGAUAAAUCAGAAACUGCAGGGCAUAGAUCCUCCACCAUCUCUCACACCUGAAAUGGUUCCUCCAAGUUUUCGAACAAAACCACCAGUUGAUGGUGUGAUAGAAAACAACAGUGCUCCAUACUCAAAUCCAGAAUUAGACAUGAUUACCAAAGACAUUGAAGAACUUGGAAGGGAAAAACAUAUACUAGAGACUGACAUAGCACAGAAAGAAGCAGAUAUUAAAAUAAAGAAUGGUGAAAUAAAAAGCUUGCAGAGUGAACUCGAUACAUUGGCAGCAACACUAAAACAGCUGGAGAACCAAAAGGGAGAGGCACAGAAACGCCUGAAUGAUCUCAAAGGACAGAAAUCAUCGAUAGAGAAAGAACUAAAUGACAUCAGGUUGGAGUUGGAAGAAGAACAAGUUCAGGUUGACAAUUUGCGACAGCAAGCAGAAGAGCAGGAGCAGUCUCUUAAAUCUCAAGAAGAUGAAUUGAGUUCAAAGAAACAAGAACUGGAAGGUUUGAAACAAGAAGAAGCAAAGCUUGAACAUCAGCAGAAGGACUCACGGGAGCAGCUAGACAACCUUACUAAGAACCUGCAAGAUACCCAACUACAAAUCAGCCAGGCAAAAGCAAAAAUUACUCAUUUACAAGAACAGCACCGGCAAAUGAAAGAUGCAGUAUCCACAUAUGAAGCUGCCAUUUCUUCAGGUGAUGCAGCCACAGUCAGUGAGGCAUCUCUACAUAUAAAACCAGAGUUCAGGGACCCUGAGUACAGCAGGAUAGCAAUGGUUAAUGGUGGGAGUCCUGUGGAACAUAACAAGAGGUUCAUCGGCAAUGAAAAGGACCCAUUUAGUGGCUUAAAUGGACCAGCAGAUAGUGGUGGAUCUGACUUUGGUGGAGAGGAUAUGUUUCAUAAUGAUCCAUUUAAGAGUACAAAAACAAGUUCCCCUGCUGCUGACCCAUUUAGCUCAAAUGACCCAUUUAGUGCUGCCUUUCCACCUAAGUCUGCUGACAUGUUUACAUCAGACCCCUUCAGUUCUUUUGGGGCACCAGCUACAAAUGCCAGCAGUGAUCCUUUUGACCCUUUUGGAGAUGUGGUGGCAGAUCGAUCAGCUUCAAAAACACCUGUAGAUAUGUCUGGGAAAGAUCCGUUUGGGUGCGAUCCAUUUGCCACGCUUCAGCCUGCAAGUAGUGGCCCUCCACCUCGUCCUGAAAGUCCCAGUCCAGCAUUACCUCCAAAAAAGAGCAAACAGCCACCCCCACGUCCAGCUCCUCCACGCCCCCUCCAGCAGCCAACAAUGCGAGCAGCCCCACUUCCUCCCACACCUAGUCCUGAUCCAACAGCUAUGAGUGGAGGUAGUGCCAGUAGAGAUCCAUUCAGCAAUCCAGGCACUCAGUCAGAUCCAUUUGCUGCUGACCCUUUUGGAGGAGGAGGUAACAGUGUAACUCCAACACCAGCUGCAUCACAAAAUGAUCCAUUUUCUAGUAGUUCAGGUGCAUUUGCUGACUUUGCAGAUUUUGAUAGCAAGUGCUGUCUGCUCAGUCACAAUUAGACCUUCCAACUUCAAAGGUUAAGGACCUCAUCUUAGGCCUGGUAAUAACUUCAUAUGCUGUUUAAAAUGUAGUGUAUGUACUCAUACAUAUUCUGUCAUCAGCUCCUCGAUUAAUGUUGGUUGCAAUUACGAAGGUUAGGGAAGGGCACUGGUGUUCCAUCAUCAGAAUCUGGUUCACUAUGAUUUGUCAAUUUGCAGUCAUUUGGCACUCAUGAAUAAAUUUAUGUCAGGGAAUUGCAUUACAGUUUGCUGUGGUGUGAGGAAUACUAAUGUGGAAGAAUUCAUGUUCUGAACAUAUAUGGUAUAUAAAUGUAAGCAUACUGACAAGUUCUUUUCUUGGAAAAGUGGAUAAGUAUUCUUCCAAUACCUUUUCUUACCAAGUCUGAAGGAUAGAAGUGCCACAAUUAAUGCAGUUAAUAUGAUUAAAUCUGUAAUUUUAGAGGCCUCACAGUUGCAGAGUAUGAAAUGGUAAUCAAUGGGAGAAGCUGUAGAAUCAAUUUUCCAGCCAUUUUAUAGUAUAUGGAAGUUGUCAUUGUUAUAUGAAGAAGUAUAACCUAAGCAUUUUUAGUUCAUAGAACAGAUUGUUGCUUGAUACAAAGGCCAUUUAAUGGCUUUUAGCUGCAGAUUUUGCAGUGUCAAAUGACUUGGGACAGUGAACAUAAAUGGUAAACUGAUAUGUAUUUGGAAAGUCUUUUUGAAAGCACUCUGCCAGUACAUGCAUGGAGACUGAAGAAAGCACAAAAACCCAAUGAAGAUGGCUCGUAACAUGGAUGCAGUUCAUCCCUGUACUUCCCAGAUCUAAGUCAUGGAGCAUUUCUGCUACAUCUGCCUGCUCAGUGACAGCAGGAUAAAAAUAGUCAAUAUUGGAAAUACGGAGACAGAACUUCACUGAAAAAAGAUCUCUUUGGUACAUAUAUUGCUCCAAGAUGAAAAUCAUCACAAUUUUUGUGAUUACCAUGUAACAGCAUCUUGUGAACAAGCAUCCAGACCAGUUCUUAGGCCCACCCAGCCUCCUACCCAUUGGGUACCAGGAGAAAAGUAGCCAGGGCAUGAAGCUGACCACUCACCUUGAUAUAAUGCUGAGUUGAAGAAUGGCAGAGCUAUACCUCUACUCCCCCAUAUGUCUGCAUGACAGUAAAAUUACAGCUCCAGAAUGGUGAGAGAAGAAACCUCCACAGAAGGAUUUCACCUGGAUAAACAUGUGAAAUUACCAACAUUACCAACCAUUACCAACAGUUUGAGGCUGUUUACUUCUCUGGCAUUCAAAAUGGAAAAGCUGUGUGUGUAGGGGCAGGGUUUAUGUGUCAGUAUCAGCAGCUGUUAUCUAUUACUAGUUUUAUAAAAAAAUCAGUACUGUGGUAUGAUUACAAAGUAGUAGUUUGGCACUACUAGUACCAUUUCUAGGUAAUCAUGGUUAAUCAGUUCUUUAAUUGCCAAUUAUUUUCUUAAGAAAAUCGUUUAAGAAACACUAUUAUAACAUUCACUUUAAAAUUAUAAUGUUAAAUUCAGCUUAGGAGAAAUUCACUGCAGUUCUCCUAACAUAGAUGGAUUGCCAGAUUAUAUAGUGUAAUUAUAAGAAGGCAUGUCAGAGACGUCCAGCUAAUGUGAAUCUGCCAGAAUAACGUGUUGCCUAUUCAGAAAAUUCUCUGAGGCAGUACUUUCUAAGUGAAGGAAAUUGCCUUUGUCUUCUGUUGUCUUUCAGUUCCUGGCUCCUAACCCUGAUAAUUAUGUCACUAGUAGCUCAACCCCACUUAGGUAUUAACUGUUCAAAAGGGAGUGCUGUGAAUAAAGAAGUUAAGCAAUCAGAAGUACUUUAUAAUUUGCAACAGCGGUCAUUCUCCUGAACACAGAGCUGAAUCCGAAUGGCUUAUUGUAGCUUUGAAUAUAAGUUGGAUGAUGAAGUGAUGUGUACUUUACAAACUGGAAGAAUUAGUUUACUUUUCCAAGACAAAGAACAAUUACUAGAUACAAAUUUUACUAGAAAAAUAUUCUGUGGGCCUAAAAUAGGCCAUUACAAAGAAACGGGAAAAGGCUAUAUGUACAAGGGUGAGUUAGUAGGUCACCAAUGGAUGUAAAACAUAAAAUAUGUGAUCAUCAUCAAUGAAAAAAUCUGCCACCAAGGUGGUUUUUUAGGGACCAAACAGAUGGAAAUCACUAGGGUCCAAAUCUGGGCUGUAAGUAAGGUUCCCCCAGUAGUUCUUGAUUUCUCUCCUGAGUUGCUUGGAUUGUAUGUGGUCUGGUAUUGUCAUGAUGAAGUAGUACCCCUCUUGCCAGUUGGCCUGGAUGUUUUCUGCGAAUUGUGUCCCAACGCUUCAUCAGAACUUCACAGUACAAUACAGAAUUCACAUUUUCACCACACUUCUGAAUAUGGGCUAACAGCACCACCUGAGAAUCCCAAAACAUGGUAAGCAUAAUCGUCCCAACUGAUAGCAUAACCUUAAAUUUUCUGGUUGCAGAAGGUGAACUGGGAUGUUUCCAUUGCACAGAAGCACACUUUGAUUCGGGUUGAUAGUAAUGCAACCAUGAUUCGUCCCAUGUAACAACCUAUUAAGCAUAGCAGCAUGUCUUCUCCUUCAUCUGCAUACUGUAAGAGAUGUUGCAAGGAAGGAUCCAUUCAGUUCAUUUGUUUAUGA